rnacentral:rRNA from 1 species
UACGUAGGGCGCAAGCGUUAUCCGGAAUUAUUGGGCGUAAAGAGCUCGUAGGCGUCUGUUGCGUCGCUGUGAAAACCCGGGGCUCAACUCCGGGCCUGCAGCCGAUACGGGCAGACUAGAGUUCGGCAGGGGAGACUGGAAUUCCUGGUGUAGCGGUGGAAUGCGCAGAUAUCAGGAGGAACACCGAUGGCGAAGGCAGAUCUCUGGGCCGUAACUGACGCUGAGGAGCGAAAGCCAUGGGGAGCGAACAGG